GGCUCCAUAGUGUAGUGGUUAGCAUGUCUGCUUUACAAGUAGAAGGCUCUGGGUUCACGCCCUAGGUGAAGCCA
rnacentral:tRNA from 1 species